GAUGAACGCUGGCGGCGUGCCUAAUACAUGCAAGUCGAGCGAACAGACGAGGAGCUUGCUCCUCUGACGUUAGCGGCGGACGGGUGAGUAACACGUGGAUAACCUACCUAUAAGACUGGGAUAACUUCGGGAAACCGGAGCUAAUACCGGAUAAUAUAUUGAACCGCAUGGUUCAAUAGUGAAAGACGGUUUUGCUGUCACUUAUAGAUGGAUCCGCGCCGCAUUAGCUAGUUGGUAAGGUAACGGCUUACCAAGGCAACGAUGCGUAGCCGACCUGAGAGGGGUGUUCGCCCACACUGAACCUGAGCCCCGGUCCAGCCUCCUACGGAAGGCAGCGUUGGGGAACCUUCCGCAAUGGGCGAAGGCCUACCGGAGCAACGCCGCGGGGGUAAUGAAGUCCUUCGGUUCGUAAAACUCUGUUAUUGGGGAAAAACAAAGGUGUAGUAACUAUGCACGUCUUGACGGUACCUAAUCAGAAAGCCACGGCUAACUACGUG
rnacentral:rRNA from 1 species